rnacentral:rRNA from 1 species
AUACGUAGGGGGCGAGCGUUGUCCGGAAUGAUUGGGCGUAAAGGGCGCGUAGGCGGCCCGGUAAGUCUGGAGUGAAAGUCCUGUUUUUAAGAUGGGAAUUGCUUUGGAUACUGUCGGGCUUGAGUGCAGGAGAGGUAAGUGGAAUUCCCAGUGUAGCGGUGAAAUGCGUAGAGAUUGGGAGGAACACCAGUGGCGAAGGCGACUUACUGGACUGUAACUGACGCUGAGGCGCGAAAGUGUGGGGAGCAAACAGGAUUAGAUACCCUGGUAGUCCACACUGUAAACGAUGAAUGCUAGGUGUAGGGAGUAUCGACCCCUUCUGUGCCGCAGUCAACACAAUAAGCAUUCCGCCUGGGGAGUACGGCCGCAAGGUUGAAACUCAAAUGAAUUGACGG